rnacentral:tRNA from 1 species
GGCUUCAUAGGUCAGUUGGUUAGAGCGUCGUACCGGUAUCGCGAGGUCACGGGCUCAAACCCCGUUGAAGUCC